AAAAGGACAAACCCUCUUGCCACCUCUCUGCCCUCUUGGUAUUUCUGAAAUUAGCAGCACACUGGGCCUGGUGAUGUUUAUGAUGUUUGAGCUGUAGGAACAGGAAAGCUGCACAGGAGCAGCAAUUUCACCCUAAACAAUCUAAUUGUUGUUAUUAUUACAAACUAUACCUUGUCAAGGAUACAUAUAUGUGUAAUUUGGGCUUCCUCGGGUGUCAUUUCCAGGGUUCAGAAACUCAUAGAUGGCAGCCCUGCUCGGUCUUGCCCUUGUAUGUUUAAGGUCACCACUUGCAUUACCAAACUCAUUUUACGGGGCUGAAUUUAGUACAGCAGAUGGCAAAGCACUCUGCUGCAUAAUGUGCCUUUGUCCUGAGCCGGAGGACUCAGGGGCACUCCAGAGGCCAUUUCCUCUGACUUUUGACCUGCUUCUGGAGGCUGGUAGCAGUCACACCGACUUCCGUGGGCUGCAGGGACCUCUCCGGAUGGGGGCAGUUGCCUUGCUGCCGAAACCUACCAACCCACACCUGGGUUUUUGCUCUCUCCUUCCUUCUUAAUGACAGGCAUUUUGGCCGACUGCUGCACAUUCGUGUCAACAAACCCCAGAGGGGCUGUAGGCUUUGGUCUGGAGGAUUACAGAGGUGAAAACUGCUGCCAGGUGUUUCAAAUACAGAGAAGUCUGUGUUGCAGCCCAUCAGAAGUCAGCAUUGGGAUACUUCUUACAGUAGAAAAUCAGGGGAUAUUUCUGCAUGCCCAAGUGGUGGCACAAAGGAAUAUACAGGUAUUAGAAGGCACAGGGUCUCCUGGAACUGGGCUGGAAGACUGUGGAGCAUGGAAGGACCCAAAGCUGGCAGCAUUGUGUUCACACAGCUGAAACAGCACUUGGCACAGCCCAUCCCAGUAACCCUUACCUGGACAUUAUCUUGAAGACUGCAAGCCGACACAAGGCAAAACUGCCAGGAUGCAUAUUAGCAGUGAAACAAUCUGGACAAUUCACUUGUUCAGCACUGAAGCACUCCUUGCUAAAAUAAUAAUAAUAAUAAUAACAACAACAAUAACAAUAACCGUAACAAUAAUAAUAAUAAUUUUUAAAACUGCCAAAAAUACUUUUAAAUAAAUAUCUUAA
rnacentral:lncRNA from 1 species